rnacentral:lncRNA from 1 species
GCCAGCUUUAGUGAGUUUUCAUCCCAUUACCCCACUGCACUGUAGGCUCUGAUUGAUUGCAGGCGGUUCCACCCAUAACCAAACUGACAGCAUUUCGGUAUUGUGUACACAAUAUACGAAGAAACUACAGACUGCACCCCUGCAUCGAGUGACUUCAGAUCUAAUGGAGGAAUGAUUCCAUGAUGGUGAAUUCAGCAAGGAACACUCUGGUGUAACUCUGCCACGCUCAGCACCAGAGGAUAAUCCUGGGAAAUGGACCUGCUAUGAUUUGCCUCAGAAUGCUUUUGUCCCGGCUGACCAAAGAAGGAAGAAAAUGGCUUGAAGGAUGAGAAAAAAAAUUGCAUCCAUAUAUAAAUGCGUGUAUACACAGAGAUUCAUUUGUUCAUACAGAGAAUGCACAUUUCUUUACUAUGUAUAGCCAAAGGAAAAUUCAGGGCCUAGUUCCAGGUGACAAAGUCGGGACUACAGGAGGACAUUGUAGCUGGUGUUCCCAGCAUCAGGACUGUUGGCUUGCUUCUGAGAACAAAUUCCCCCAGAGCUUUGGGGGGGGUUGGGGGGGAGGUCAUUAAGGUCUUCUGUGUUGAAUGUGCAAGUGAGAACAGAAAAAAACCAGUUUCCCUAACAUGCAUGUACUGAUUUCCUCAGAUAUGCAUCCCUGUGGUAGAGUUUCCGGUUUAUAAAUUCGGAAGACAGAGAUUGGG